rnacentral:rRNA from 1 species
UACGUAGGGGGCAAGCGUUGUCCGGAAUCAUUGGGCGUAAAGAGCGUGUAGGCGGCCUGAUAAGUCGGCUGUGAAAGUCAAGGGCUCAACCCUUGAAUGCCGGCCGAUACUGUCAGGCUAGAGUCCGGAAGAGGCGAGUGGAAUUCCUGGUGUAGCGGUGAAAUGCGCAGAUAUCAGGAGGAACACCUAUGGCGAAGGCAGCUCGCUGGGGACGUACCGACGCUGAGACACGAAAGCCAGGGGAGCGAACGGG